rnacentral:lncRNA from 10 species
AGGAAAGGGAAUAUAGACACCUCUGCCCUAAUAAGAGGACUCACCCUGUAAGAGGGGCAUGUGGAAUGGGAGGUAUUAUGGCUGCCAUCUUUAGAAAUUACAAUUUGCCACAGGUUGUGUUCCCUAGAAGCAGAGGUUGAAAUAGGGGUUCUUUUGUGAGUUAAGGAAGAGGGAGAAGCUAAGCGAGGAUGUAGCUUCAGGUGAAGUCCAGCUUCAACCUGAUCUUGUAGGCAGCACUGGAUCUCACAUUGUCUGCAGCAUUUGUCCUUCCUUGAGGCAAAAAAGUGGGGCUUUUGUACACACAUAUCAGUCAACCCUUAGCUUAGGGAAGCCCCAGGGGAAGGGUUGUAACUCCUAGGUAUCUCGUAGACAGGCAACUCCUCUUGCUUAAAGGCAUUUCCCAGACAAGGCUUGCUCUGUGAGCCUUUAAUAGCAGUUAAUAAAAAGAUUGCCAGAGAUCUGAUUGGGACUGCAACAGCCUCAGCUACAUUAAGAUAUGGGGGCACAUUCAAGGCCUGUUUUAUAGAGACUAGCAGAGACCAUAUAAGAAUCACUAACAUGAGCUGCAUACGCUGGAGGCCCCUCUGCUGUCAUUAUUUUAUGUGCUGGAAAACGCUGCGAUGGGAAGACAGCCCAGUCAGAUGGGGAUGGCCUGGAAUAGGAGCCAGGUCUAUCUGAACUUUUUCUCCAGAGAAUGAAGAUACUGUCAUUACCUCUGCAAAGAAUGCAUCCUAGCACAGAUCAAAGAUCUUCCAAGUCCAGCCACACCAUUUUACAGUUCUGAACCUCGACUUAGGAAAGCAGUGGAUCUUUAUACAUUUGACACAUCCCUUCCCUCUAGGGUAAGAAAAAAUAAGCCUAGUUUUGCAUAAGUCCUUUUCUG